rnacentral:piRNA from 1 species
UAGUUACCAGUGCUGGACAUGGCUAGAA